UUGCUCACCUCAGCAGCAUAUAUAUUAAAAUGGGAAUGAUACAGAGAAGAUUAGCAUGGUUCCUAUGCAAAGACAACCCAAAAGAUUGUGGAGUGUUCCAUAUUUAA